GUGUACCAGUUGUCGUGCCAACGGCAUAGCUGGGUAGCUAUGUGUGGACGGGAUAAGUGCUGAAAGCAUCUAAGCAUGAAGCCCCCCUCAAGAUGAGAUUUCCCAACUUCGGUUAUAAGAUCCCUCAAAGAUGAUGAGGUUAAUAGGUUCGAGGUGGAAGCAUGGUGACAUGUGGAGCUGACGAAUACUAAUCGAUCGAAGACUUAAUCAA
rnacentral:rRNA from 1 species